rnacentral:rRNA from 1 species
CAAUAGCGUAUAUUAAAGUUGUUGCGGUUAAAAAGCUCGUAGUUGGAUUUCUGUUGAAGACGGCCGGUCCGCUCUAUGAGCGUGUAUCUGGUUCGGCUUUGGCAUCCUCGUGGGGAACGUAACUGUGCUUGAUUGCAUGGUGCGGUAUUCACGACUUUUACUUUGAGGAAAUUAGAGUGUUCACGGCAGGCAAGCGCCUUGAAUAUAUUAGCAUGGAAUAAUAAUAUAGGACUUUGGUUUCGUUAUUUUGUUUGGUUUCGUUAGAACUAAAAGUAAAUAGAUUAAUUAGGGAGGUAAUUAGGGGGUCGGAUUUGUUAUUAACGUACGUCAGAGGU